GCAUGAGUUGUGUGUUCGCUGUAAAUAUGGACAGAGAACAAAUUGGUGGAAUUUAGGUGGGCCUUCUGUGAGUUUUGAAGGCUCAUAAAGGACCAUCAUACACUG
rnacentral:snoRNA from 1 species